UGCAAAGGUUUCCUUGGGUCGGACGGAGAUUGGCCCUCGAGUGCAAAGAUAGAAGGGAGCUUAACUGCAAAACCCACCCGUCGAGCAGGGGUGUAAAACUAUGUGU
rnacentral:rRNA from 1 species